AGGAUGAACGCUGGCGGCGUGCUUAACACAUGCAAGUCGAACGGUGAAAGAGGAGCUUGCUCCUCUGGAUCAGUGGCGAACGGGUGAGUAACACGUGAGUAACCUGCCCUUGACUCUGGGAUAAGCGUUGGAAACGACGUCUAAUACCGGAUACGACCUCCGAAGGCAUCUUCUGGAGGUGGAAAGAAUUUCGGUCAAGGAUGGACUCGCGGCCUAUCAGCUAGUUGGUGAGGUAAUGGCCCACCAAGGCGACGACGGGUAGCCGGCCCUGAGAGGGUGACCGGCCACACUGGGACUGAGACACGGCCCAGACUCCUACGGGAGGCAGCAGUGGGGAAUAUUGCACAAUGGGCGCAAGCCUGAUGCAGCAACGCCGCGUGAGGGACGACGGCCUUCGGGUUGUAAACCUCUUUUAGUAGGGAAGAAGCGAAAGUGACGGUACCUGCAGAAAAGCACCGGCUAACUACGUGCCAGCAGCCGC
rnacentral:rRNA from 1 species